rnacentral:rRNA from 1 species
AUUGAACGCUGGCGGCAUGCUUUACACAUGCAAGUCGAACGGCAGCGCGGGGGCAACCCUGGCGGCGAGUGGCGAACGGGUGAGUAAUGUAUCGGAACGUAUCCCUGUAAUGGGGGGAUAACCAGUCGAAAGAUUGGGUAAUACCGCAUACGCACGAGAGUGGAAAGUAGGGGAUCGCAAGACCUUACGUUAUAGGAGCGGCCGAUAUCUGAUUAGCUAGUUGGUGGGGUAAAGGCCUACCAAGGCGACGAUCAGUAGCUGGUCUGAGAGGACGACCAGCCACACUGGGACUGAGACACGGCCCAGACUCCUACGGGAGGCAGCAGUGGGGAAUUUUGGACAAUGGGCGAAAGCCUGAUCCAGCCAUGCCGCGUGAAGGAAGAAGGCCUUCGGGUUGUAACUUCUUUGAUCGGGACGGAACGAAAUAGACGGUACCCGAGGAACAAGACCACGGCUAACUAACGUGCCAGCAGCCGCGGUAAACGAUAACUCGUA